ensembl:lncRNA
AUGUCAUAUAGUGUGUUUCACUGUGAAAGCGCAACUACUUUGUUUGGCCUUCCAAAAGAGGAUGAUAUCCGCUUCGUCAUGCCUCGAGCUGAUCUGUGCUGGUCGCUGAGGAAAUACAUCAACUUCGCACUGUGGAUCGACAAAUCGGCUUUCACUGUGGACGAAGUGGAAUCCAGCCCGGGGUCGUCACAUGUGGUUGCCGCAAGCACAAGCUUUGGCAGUUUGAAGCUCACUGGAUUUUCCCCAUCUAUGCUCAAUCAGGAGAGCAAAAACAGAACCACAGG